UACGAAGGUGGCAAGCGUUGUUCGGAUUUACUGGGCGUAAAGAGUGCGUAGGCGGUUUAACAAGUCAGAAGUGAAAGCCCAAGGCUCAACCUUGGAAUUGCUUUUGAAACUGUUUAACUUGAAUCCGGUAGAGGUUGGCGGAAUUCCCAGUGUAGAGGUGAAAUUCGCAGAUAUUGGGAGGAACACCAGUGGCGUAAGCGGCCAACUGGACCGGUUUUGACGCUGAGGCACGAAAGCAUGGGGAGCAAACAGG
rnacentral:rRNA from 1 species